GCCUACGGGACGCAGCAGUGGGGGAUAUUGCACAAUGGGGGAAACCCUGAUGCAGCGACGCCGCGUGGGCGAAGAAGUAUUUCGGUAUGUAAAGCCCUAUCAGCAGGGAAGAAGAAAUGACGGUACCUGAGUAAGAAGCACCGGCUAAAUACGUGCCAGCAGCCGCGGUAAUACGUAGGGGGCAAGCGUUAUCCGGAUUUACUGGGUGUAAAGGGAGCGUAGACGGCAGUGCAGGUCUGGAGUGAAAGGCGGGGGCUCAACCCCCGGACUGCUCUGGAAACUGUACGGCUGGAGUGCAGGAGAGG
rnacentral:rRNA from 1 species